UCGUUGGUGACCAGCGGAGGGAUCAUUA
rnacentral:rRNA from 1 species